rnacentral:rRNA from 1 species
GCUUCUUUUUCCCCGGAGCUUGCUCCACCGGAAAAAGAAGAGUGGCGAACGGGUGAGUAACACGUGGGUAACCUGCCCAUCAGAAGGGGAUAACACUUGGAAACAGGUGCUAAUACCGUAUAACAAUCGAAACCGCAUGGUUUUGAUUUGAAAGGCGCUUUCGGGUGUCGCUGAUGGAUGGACCCGCGGUGCAUUAGCUAGUUGGUGAGGUAACGGCUCACCAAGGCCACGAUGCAUAGCCGACCUGAGAGGGUGAUCGGCCACAUUGGGACUGAGACACGGCCCAAACUCCUACGGGAGGCAGCAGUAGGGAAUCUUCGGCAAUGGACGAAAGUCUGACCGAGCAACGCCGCGUGAGUGAAGAAGGUUUUCGGAUCGUAAAACUCUGUUGUUAGAGAAGAACAAGGAUGAGAGUAACUGUUCAUCCCUUGACGGUAUCUAACCAGAAAGCCACGGCUAACUACGUGCCAGCAGCCGCGGUAAUACGUAGGUGGCAAGCGUUGUCCGGAUUUAUUGGGCGUAAAGCGAGCGCAGGCGGUUUCUUAAGUCUGAUGUGAAAGCCCCCGGCUCAACCGGGGAGGGUCAUUGGAAACUGGGAGACUUGAGUGCAGAAGAGGAGAGUGGAAUUCCAUGUGUAGCGGUGAAAUGCGUAGAUAUAUGGAGGAACACCAGUGGCGAAGGCGGCUCUCUGGUCUGUAACUGACGCUGAAGCUCGAAAGCGUGGGGGAGCAACA